GUGAGCUGGUGUGGCAUAGUGGUUAGAGUGCCAGACUAGGACCCUGGAAACCAGGGUUCAAAUCCAUGAAGCUCGCU